AGAGUUUGAUCAUGGCUCAGAUUGAACGCUGGCGGCAUGCCUUACACAUGCAAGUCGAACGGUAACGGAUCCUUCGGGAUGCCGACGAGUGGCGAACGGGUGAGUAAUACAUCGGAACGUGCCUGGUAGUGGGGGAUAACUACUCGAAAGAGUGGCUAAUACCGCAUGAGAUCUCAGGAUGAAAGCAGGGGACCCUCGGGCCUUGCGCUAUCAGAGCGGCCGAUGGCAGAUUAGGUAGUUGGUGGGAUAAAAGCUUACCAAGCCGACGAUCUGUAGCUGGUCUGAGAGGACGAUCAGCCACACUGGGACUGAGACACGGCCCAGACUCCUACGGGAGGCAGCAGUGGGGAAUUUUGGACAAUGGGCGCAAGCCUGAUCCAGCAAUGCCGCGUGCAGGAUGAAGGCCUUCGGGUUGUAAACUGCUUUUGUACGGAACGAAAAGCUUCGGGCUAAUACCCUGGAGUCAUGACGGUACCGUAAGAAUAAGCACCGGCUAACUACGUGCCAGCAGCCGCGGUAAUACGUAGGGUGCAAGCGUUAAUCGGAAUUACUGGGCGUAAAGCGUGCGCAGGCGGUUUUGUAAGACAGUGGUGAAAUCCCCGGGCUCAACCUGGGAACUGCCAUUGUGACUGCAAGGCUGGAGUGCGGCAGAGGGGGAUGGAAUUCCGCGUGUAGCA
rnacentral:rRNA from 1 species